GAAGAAAAGAGAUGGAAGAGGUGGAACAAGAGUAAGAGGGAAAAAGAGGGAUGAAUGAGGAUAAGGGGAGUUAGAGGAAAGGGUACGAGUUAAAUAUCUCUCUCGAGCGAAUAGAAGGAGAAAGGAGGAAUCGGUCGGCACAUGGGUCUCUCACUUCGGGUCGAUACUCUAGCACUGGAGUGAACGCUCAGUACACUUGCACUCGGCCGAGUACGUUUGCACCGGGAAUUGCCUGCCUGCCUGCCAGCCUGCUUGCUUGCCUGGCCGCUAGCCCUGGCCGCUGCUCUUGUGCGUAACACUAGAGCGAAUUCUCAUUGGUGACAGGGGGUGAAGAGAGGACGGAUCACACUUCAGGUAGAUUAUAAUUUAUAUAUAUAUAUAUAUAUAUAUAUUUUAAAAGCCGAGUGAAUAUCGAAGGCUAAUGGCCCCCUGUUACUACGUGGAAGAGGAGAGAAGAAAAAAGAGAAUAAAGAAAGAAAAAGAAUAAAAUACUUUCGUCUAUAGCUGUAGAAGCAUCUUGAAGAAUUUUAUCUCCAAGUGGAAAGAAGAGUCCCAGCAGCACCUUUCAGAAGAAACAUAUGUCUACUGUUGUGUAUAUAUGUACUUUACAUUGUACAUACAUAUAUAUAUAUGUAUACUCUAUUUUACGCGAGCAAAGGUAUAUAUUGCACCUACGUGGAUAAAAAAAGAUAACAUACGUGGCAACCUUUGUCUACUGUCAAAGCAUAUCGAUUGCAAGUUGUAUCCCAUGGAAGCCCUUUACAACGCCGACAUCAACAACUACAUCACUU